CUCACUUUAACCGCCAACAGUUCGAUUCAUCAGAGAAAAUUAUUCAGAAUGAUAGCAGCGCUGGUUGCGCUAUUCUGGAUAUUUCAUCUUCCCUUCUGGGUGUGUUUGUUCAGGUCUGUCUUUGCGUCUAAAGAUGAAGGAGGCGGCGGAGGGGGUUGUUCACACUUCUGGAUGGAGAGUUCAAUUGUGUUCACAUAUGUGAAUGCUCUUUUCAAUCCUUUUCUCUACUCCUUCCUCACCACCAGUUGUUGUUCAGACUGUUCUUGCGGGGAGGAAGACGACACCCAUAUUAACAUACCCGCACCUGACAUAAACGUCUGUCUAUCUCGCGAUGCACCUGCACCUGACACUAACAACCAACGUUGCUCACCUAGCCGAAAAGACCAAUUAACCUACUGCGGUCAAGUAGAUAAGCUGUCGCGGGUGAGCGAAGAAGAAGCCUCACGCGAAGAUCACAGGUCCAAAAAAUUUCCAAGUCUCGAAGCAACUGGACGAAAGGAUACAAUAGAAACUAACGCAUAGCUAAAUAUGUAUACUAACUCAGAGGGUAUUCUCAAAAAACGAAAACUCAAAAAAUAAUUUGCGACAAACUUUGUCGUCAAAUUAUUUCAGAAUUAUGUAGUUGUACUGCUUUUGCUUUCUGAUUCUAUUCGCAUAAUAGCACCCCAGAGACAA